AUUUUUACCUUGUUCUUUUUUGAGUGAUGAGUUUCACUCAAUGAGCUGUCGAUUUUUUAUGUUUUCUGUUACUUUUCUUGAAGAAAAGACGAUGUAGCUCAGUAUUUUAUCUUUUAUGUAACACUUUCUU